rnacentral:rRNA from 1 species
UACGUAGGGUGCGAGCGUUAAUCGGAAUUACUGGGCGUAAAGUGUGCGCAGGCGGCGCCGCAAGUCGAGUGUGAAAGCCCCGAGCUUAACUUGGGAAUUGCGCUCGAAACUAUGGUGCUGGAGUGUGGCAGAGGAAGGUGGAAUUCCACGUGUAGCGGUGAAAUGCGUAGAGAUGUGGAGGAACACCGAUGGCGAAGGCAGCCUCCUGGGCCAACACUGACGCUCAUGCACGAAAGCGUGGGGAGCAAACAGG